GACGAACGCUGGCGGCGUGCUUAACACAUGCAAGUCGUACGGUAAGGCCCUUUCGGGGGUACACGAGUGGCGAACGGGUGAGUAACACGUGCGUAACCUGCCCACAACUUUGGGAUAACGCUAGGAAACUGGUGCUAAUACUGGAUAUGUGCUCCUGCUGCAUGGUGGGGGUUGGAAAGCUCCGGCGGUUGUGGAUGGACUCGCGGCCUAUCGGCUUGUUGGUGGGGUAGUGGCCUACCAAGGCGGCGACGGGUAGCCGGCCUGAGAGGGUGACCGGCCACAUUGGGACUGAGAUACGGCCCAGACUCCUACGGGAGGCAGCAGUGGGGAAUAUUGCACAAUGGGCGCAAGCCUGAUGCAGCAACGCCGCGUGCGGGAUGACGGCCUUCGGGUUGUAAACCGCUUUCAGCAGGGACGAAGCUUUUUGUGACGGUACCUGCAGAAGAAGCACCGGCUAACUACGUG
rnacentral:rRNA from 1 species